UACGAGGGGAGCAAGCGUUGUUCGGAUUUACUGGGCGUAAAGGGCGCGUAGGCGGCCACGACAAGUCACUUGUGAAAUCUCCGGGCUUAACUCGGAACGGUCAAGUGAUACUGUCGGACUAGAGUACAGAAGGGGCAACUGGAAUUCUCGGUGUAGCGGUGAAAUGCGUAGAUAUCGAGAGGAACACCUGCGGCGAAGGCGGGUUGCUGGGCUGAUACUGACGCUGAUGCGCGAAAGCCAGGGGAGCGAACGGG
rnacentral:rRNA from 1 species